UAGGGAAUCUUCGGCAAUGGACGAAAGUCUGACCGAGCAACGCCGCGUGAGUGAAGAAGGUUUUCGGAUCGUAAAACUCUGUUGUUAGAGAAGAACAAGGACGUUAGUAACUGAACGUCCCCUGACGGUAUCUAACCAGAAAGCCACGGCUAACUACGUGCCAGCAGCCGCGGUAAUACGUAGGUGGCAAGCGUUGUCCGGAUUUAUUGGGCGUAAAGCGAGCGCAGGCGGUUUCUUAAGUCUGAUGUGAAAGCCCCCGGCUCAACCGGGGAGGGUCAUUGGAAACUGGGAGACUUGAGUGCAGAAGAGGAGAGUGGAAUUCCAUGUGUGGCGGUGAAAUGCGUAGAUAUAUGGAGGAACACCAGUGGCGAAGGCGGCUCUCUGGUCUGUAACUGACGCUGAGGCUAGAAAGCGUGGGGAGCAAACAGG
rnacentral:rRNA from 1 species